AGUCGGUAGAGCAUCAGACUUUU
rnacentral:piRNA from 4 species